UAAACUGUCUAGAGCAAAUCCUUAUCUUAUUAUGUCAAAUCCAUACUUGACUGCUUAAAACCACUUGUUAUCACAUGCCCGCGACCAUGUACAUCAACAGAGAUGGGUGCUUCUAGGUCUUUGAGCUGGCA
rnacentral:pre_miRNA from 1 species